UACGAAGGGGGCUAGCGUUGCUCGGAAUCACUGGGCGUAAAGGGUGCGUAGGCGGGUCUUUAAGUCAGGGGUGAAAUCCUGGAGCUCAACUCCAGAACUGCCUUUGAUACUGAAGAUCUUGAGUUCGGGAGAGGUGAGUGGAAUUCCCAGUGUAGCGGUGAAAUGCGUAGAUAUUGGGAGGAACACCAGUGGCGAAGGCGGCUCACUGGACCGGUACUGACGCUGAUGCGCGAAAGCGUGGGGAGCAAACGGG
rnacentral:rRNA from 1 species